rnacentral:sRNA from 1 species
CCAAGAGACCGCGAAACCGUUGGGAGGGAAGCGAAUGCGAGCGCGUCGGCUCCGUGCGGGUUCAGGGAGGCGGCACGUCGCCGCCGCGGGCGCCAAGGCGACCGUCGGCGGAGGCUUGUCUCCGUUCCGCUCUCCCGCGCCGGAGCUCCCAGCGUCGCUGGCGUCCACCGCCGUCGGCCUCGAGGAAGGUGACCGUGGCGCGCCCUCGGGCGACUACGGAGCUUACAGCCGAGGUCGGCGCGUGUGGGGGCGAGCGUGGUGAACGCGACGCUUCGCGUGGCAGCGCGGGCCUCUCCCCUCGCGGGAGCGGGCCGAGUCUCUUCUGGUCGGGCGGGCCGGCGGGCGAGGGACUGCUCGACAGUGCCACGUCGCGCUCGGUCUGGUCGUCCGGGAGGCUGAUGACGACUCGCGCUGCAGUCGCUGGGACCACUGGCGCUCGCAUCCGA